GAGACAGCAGUAGCCGCGGGAAUACGAAGGGUGCAAGCGUUACUCGGAAUUACUGGGCGUAAAGCGUGCGUAGGUGGUGGUUUAAGUCCGUUGUGAAAGCCCUGGGCUCAACCUGGGAAUUGCAGUGGAUACUGGGUCACUAGAGUGUGGUAGAGGAUAGUGGAAUUUCCGGUGUAGCAGUGAAAUGCGUAGAGAUCGGAAGGAACAUCUGUGGCGAAGGCGACUAUCUGGGCCAACACUGACACUGAGGCACGAAAGCGUGGGGAGCAAACAGGAUUAGAUACCCCGGUAGUCCCUGUCUCUUAUAC
rnacentral:rRNA from 1 species